CGGAGGAAAAGAAACUAACAAGGAUUCCCUCAGUAACGGCGAGUGAAGCGGGAAGAGCUCAAAUUUAAAAUCUGGUUUGCUUGCAAGCCCGAGUUGUAGUCUGAAGAAACGUUUUCCAUAAGCACUGAGGCAAAAGUCCCUUGGAACAGGGCAUCAUAGAGGGUGAGAAUCCCGUCCAUGGUCUCAAGUUGUUUAUUUUGUGAUACGUUUUCAAAGAGUCAGGUUGUUUGGGAAUGCAGCCUAAAAUGGGUGGUAAAUUUCAUCUAAAGCUAAAUAUUGGCGAGAGACCGAUAGCGAACAAGUACCGUGAGGGAAAGAUGAAAAGAACUUUGAAAAGAGAGUUAAACAGUACGUGAAAUUGUUGAAAGGGAACCGUUUGAAGCCAGUCUUACUUGCCUGUGAUCAAUUUUUGCUUCGGCAUGAAUGCACUCUCGGGUAUGGUAGGCCAACGACAGUUUGGAAUGCGAGAAAAAAAUAGAGGAAAUGUGGCCUUCGGGUGUUAUAGUCCUUUGUAAAAUAUCGUGUUCUGGACUGAGGAUCGCAGCAAAAAYGUGGGCAGGUGGAUUUCUGUGGUAACUGUCGRUUAGGACAACUUGUUGACCUAGUCUUCCUUAGCCUCACUAUUUACCUUGCUUCUAAUUUGCUUAGGUCGUUGGCAUAAUGGCUUUAAAUGACCCGUCUUG
rnacentral:rRNA from 1 species